rnacentral:rRNA from 1 species
CGUAGGAUGCAAGCGUUGUCCGGAUUUAUUGGGCGUAAAGAGUUCGUAGGUGGUUUGUUAAGUCUGAUGUUAAAGACUGGGGCUCAACCUCGGAAAUGCAUUGGAUACUGGCAGACUUGAGUGUGGUAGAGGCAAUCGGAAUUCCAGGUGUAGCGGUGAAAUGCGUAGAUAUCUGGAAGAACACCGGUGGCGCAAGCGGAUUGCUGGGCCAUAACUGACACUGAGGAACGAAAGCUAGGGGAGCGAAUGGGAUUAGAUACCCCAGUAGUCCUAGCCGUAAACGAUGAAUACUAGGCGUAUCGGGUAUCGACCCCUGAUGUGCCGCAGCUAACGCGAUAAGUAUUCCGCCUGAGUAGUACGGCCGCAAGGUUG